GGAUGGACUAGGUCGGGCGGUUAGGCCCCGCUCGUCACCCCCGAGAUAGUCUUCAGGGGGGACCAAACCCCGGGCGCGUCCGGUCAGACCGGCACGGGCCCCGGGAGCCGACGUCGAAGCCUCGUCCUACGGGGACAGCGGUCCACGACGCUCGCCCGCAGGGGCGACUCGCCGUGGUUGGUCGACGGAACCGGGUCAGGCGCGGAAGCGAACAGCCCACCGUCGGACGCCCGUCGCUCGUAGGGGCGCGGGGUGGAGGAGGCAACCGGGACUACCCGCGUCGGAACGCCGGGCAACCCCUGGCGUCCAUCA
rfam:Halophilic archaeon DL31, complete genome.